UAACCUAGAAAGAGAAGGGGAGGU
rnacentral:piRNA from 1 species